rnacentral:rRNA from 1 species
GACGAACGCUGGCGGCGUGCUUAACACAUGCAAGUCGAACGGAAAGGCCUGCUUUUGGGGGGUGCCCCAGGGGGGAAAGGGUGGGUAAACCGGGAGUAACCCGCCCCUGGCCUUGGGGAAAAUUUCGGAAACCGGGGCCAAUACCGGAAAGGGGCUUCCGCUGCCUGGUGGGGGGUGGAAAGGUUUCGGCGGUUGGGGAUGGACUCGCGGCUUAUCAGCUUGUUGGUGGGGUAGUGGCUUACCAAGGCUUUGACGGGUAGCCGGCCUGAGAGGGUGACCGGCCACAUUGGGACUGAGAUACGGCCCAGACUCCUACGGGAGGCAGCAGUGGGGAAUAUUGCACAAUGGGCGGAAGCCUGAUGCAGCAACGCCGCGUGCGGGAUGACGGCCUUCGGGUUGUAAACCGCUUUCGCCUGUGACGAAGCGUGAGUGACGGUAAUGGGUAAAGAAGCACCGGCUAACUACGUG